AACGAACGCUGGCGGCAUGCCUAACACAUGCAAGUCGAACGAGACCCCUGACUUCGGUUGGCGGGUCUAGUGGCGCACGGGUGCGUAACGCGUGGGAAUCUGCCCUUGGGUUCGGUAUAACUCAGAGAAAUUUGAGCUAAUACCGGAUGAUGACGAAAGUCCAAAGAUUUAUUGCCCAGGGAUGAGCCCGCGUAAGAUUAGCUUGUUGGUGGGGUAAUGGCCUACCAAGGCGACGAUCUUUAGCUGGUCUGAGAGGAUGAUCAGCCACACUGGGACUGAGACACGGCCCAGACUCCUACGGGAGGCAGCAGUGGGGAAUAUUGGACAAUGGGCGCAAGCCUGAUCCAGCAAUGCCGCGUGAGUGAUGAAGGCCUUAGGGUUGUAAAGCUCUUUUACCAGGGAUGAUAAUGACAGUACCUGGAGAAUAAGCUCCGGCUAACUCCGUGCCAGCAGCCGCGGUAAAGUCUGUACU
rnacentral:rRNA from 1 species